GGUAUUAAUAGUUACGAGCUUUAAAUCCAAAGAAUUUGGCGGUACUUAAGUCUAGUUAGAGGAACUUGUGCUGUAAACGAUAAUCCGCGAUAAUCUUUCUCUAUUUUGUAAAAUCAGUAUGUAUACCGUCAUUAUUAAGUGGUUUUAAAAAAAAGAACUGUAAUAAAGAAUUUGCUUAAUAUAUUAGAUCAAGGUGCAGCUUAUAGUAGAGUUUGUUCAUGAGUUACAAUUAUUUAUAACAAUAUGGAUAGUUUGAAGGAAUAUUCAUCUUGAAGGUGGAUUUAAUUGUAAAUAAAGUUAUAUUAUUUUUUGUUGAUAAAGCGCUUAAGUAUGCACACAUCGCCCCGCUCU
rnacentral:rRNA from 1 species